rnacentral:rRNA from 1 species
GACGAACGCUGGCGGCGUGCCUAAUACAUGCAAGUUGAGCGCUGAAGGUUGGUACUUGUACCAACUGGAUGAGCAGCGAACGGGUGAGUAACGCGUGGGGAAUCUGCCUUUGAGCGGGGGACAACAUUUGGAAACGAAUGCUAAUACCGCGUAAAAACUUUAAACACAAGUUUUAAGUUUGAAAGAUGCAAUUGCAUCACUCAAAGAUGAUCCCGCGUUGUAUUAGCUAGUUGGUGAGGUAAAGGCUCACCAAGGCGAUGAUACAUAGCCGACCUGAGAGGGUGAUCGGCCACAUUGGGACUGAGACACGGCCCAAACUCCUACGGGAGGCAGCAGUAGGGAAUCUUCGGCAAUGGACGAAAGUCUGACCGAGCAACGCCGCGUGAGUGAAGAAGGUUUUCGGAUCGUAAAACUCUGUUGGUAGAGAAGAACGUUGGUGAGAGUGGAAAGCUCAUCAAGUGACGGUAACUACCCAGAAAGGGACGGCUAACUACGUG